rnacentral:rRNA from 1 species
UACGUAGGUGGCAAGCGUUGUCCGGAAUUACUGGGCGUAAAGCGUGCGCAGGCGGUUCGUUGUGUCUGAUGUGAAAGCCCCGGGCUUAACCUGGGAAUGGCAUUGGAAACUGGCGAGCUGGAGUGUGGCAGAGGGGGGUGGAAUUCCGCGUGUAGCAGUGAAAUGCGUAGAGAUGCGGAGGAACACCGAUGGCGAAGGCAGCCCCCUGGGCCAACACUGACGCUCAGGCACGAAAGCGUGGGGAGCAAACAGG